UACGAAGGGUGCUAGCGUUGUUCGGAAUUACUGGGCGUAAAGCGCGCGUAGGCGGCUUCGCAAGUCAGGGGUGAAAUCCUUGGGCUCAACCCAAGAAUUGCCUUUGAAACUGCGGAGCUAGAGUGUCGGAGGGGAUAGCGGAAUUCCUAAUGUAGAGGUGAAAUUCGUAGAUAUUAGGAGGAACACCGGUGGCGAAGGCGGCUAUCUGGACGACAACUGACGCUGAGGCGCGAAAGCACGGGGAUCAAACAGG
rnacentral:rRNA from 1 species